rnacentral:lncRNA from 1 species
AAGACAUGAGGCUAUGUCACGGGGCCCAAGAGCAGGGCCCACCACUGCCCUGCUUUGGCCAAGUGCUAACCCCUUGGCUCUCUCUUCUAGGACCAGGGUACAGAAGACCACUUCACAGACAUGGUUUGCAGGUAGUACACGAAGCUGGGCAGAUAUUCAUCUAAAAGAAAUCAAUCACAAGCCAUUAAUAGAUCCAUCCAUAUGGAGCAGACACAACAGAGACAGCACGGGCUGCUGGGCGGUACUGACGCAUGGAGUGGACAAGAAUUUGCUUCUCAUCAACCUCAACGUGGAUUCCUCCGAUGGGCUAUUCUUGGAGAUGCCUUAACAGUGACUUUAACUGUCUAAGAUACGAAAUGACCAAACCUCCCUCCCAUCCAUAAACAGAUUAGCCCUAAUCUUCAAACAGCCACGCUAAGCAUUCGGGUUCACCAGGUAGCUCAGGGGAAGUCAGCCCCUGAUAAGCAAGCUAAGCAAAUUCCCAGGGUUUCAGCUCUUCAGUCAAGAUCCUAAAAGCCAACGGACUCUGCUAUAUUCUUCUCCACCCAUGGAGCACUGUGGCUCGGGUCACCGCACAGGCCACUGAACCAAUGCCCAGUUGGCCUGUGAGCCACGCCUUGAUCACUUCACUGUGGGAGGUCAGUUUCCUUUUUCCCUAAGAAUCCAACAUUGAAUUUCCCAGUCCGUCUUUUCUCAUUACAUAAGCCAGCUGUUUCCUGCAACCGCCUGCUGGGAUGAGAGCACUGGGCCGGGAGAUCUGGCCCCCGGACUGGUCUCCAGCACUCUCCAGCCACAGAGUGGCCUCUUGGAGAUCCACUUCUUCAUCUGCAAAAUGGGAGUGCCCUCCCGGCCUUCCUACGGGGCUGCGGAGAUGACCCGGUGACAUGAUUGCCACUCUGCUCCCCUUCCGUAAGCAUAGGGUGGUGGUGGUAUGUUACAGGGCACAGCUUGUGGCUGUAGCCUGGGGGUGCCCGGGUGGGGGUGCCCGGGUGGGGGUGAGAGAGGCCGAGCUGGUGCUCACACCAAGUGCUGACCCAGUGAUACGUCCAUUGUCCUUGGCCCUUGGCCCACCCACAACUUUCUCAGCAAUCUCGCCGCUGCCGCACCUUAAAACCACCCAGCA